UACGUAGGGGGCAAGCGUUGUCCGGAUUUAUUGGGCGUAAAGAGCGUGUAGGCGGCUUUAUAGGUCUGCUGUGAAAACUCGAGGCUCAACCUCGAGCUGUCGGUGGAAACCGUGGGGCUAGAGUCCGGAAGAGGAGAGUGGAAUUCCCGGUGUAGCGGUGAAAUGCGCAGAUAUCGGAAAGAACACCCAUGGCGAAGGCGGCUCUCUGGGACAGUACUGACGCUGAGACGCGAAAGCGUGGGGAGCAAACAGG
rnacentral:rRNA from 1 species